UGAGUACGAGCUGCUACGGCAGCGAAGUGGGUGAUGUCAAGCUUCCAAGAAAAGCCCUAUACCCGUUAAGGCAUGACGGCCUGUACCCGAAACCGACACAGGUGGGGUGGUAGAGAAUACCGAGGGGCGCGAGAUAACUCUCUCUAAGGAACUCGGCAAAAUGGCCCCGUAACUUCGGGAGAAGGGGUGCCACCGCAAGGUGGUCGCAGUGAAGAGGCCCAGGCGACUGUUUACCAAAAACACAGGUCUCCGCUAAGUCGCAAGACGAUGUAUGGGGCUGACGCCUGCCCAGUGCCGGAAGGUUAAGGAAGCUGGUCAGCGCAAGCGAAGCUAGCGACUGAAGCCCCGGUGAACGGCGGCCGUAACUAUAACGGUCCUAAGGUAGCGAAAUUCCUUGUCGGGUAAGUUCCGACCCGCACGAAAGGCGUAACGAUCCGGGCGCUGUCUCGGAGAGAGGCUCGGCGAAAUAGAAUUGUCUGUGAAGAUGCGGACUACGUGCACCCGGACAGAAAGACCCUAUGAAGCUUUACUGUAGCUUGGUAUUGUGCCCGGGCUCUGAAUGCGCAGGAUAGGUGGGAGGCUUUGAUCCAUUGCUUGUGGGUAAUGGUGAGCCAACGGUGAGAUACCACUCUUUCAGAGCUAGGGUUCUAACCCUCACCCGUUAUCCGGGGAGGGGACAGUAUCAGGUGGGCAGUUUGACUGGGGCUCGCCUCCUAAAAGGUAACGGAGGCGCGCAAAGGUUUGCUCAGGCUGGUUGGAAAUCAGCCGACGAGUGUAAAAGCAGAAGCAAGCUUGACUGUGAGACCAACAAGUCGAACAGGGACGAAAGUCGGCUUUAGUGAUCCGACGGUUCUGAGUGGAAGGGCCGUCGCUCAACGGAUAAAAGUUACUCUAGGAUAACAGGCUGAUCUCCCCCAAGAGUUCACAUCGACGGGGAGGUUUGGCACCUCGAUGUCGGCUCAUCGCAACCUGGGGCUGAAGUCGGUCCCAAGGGUUGGGCUGUUCGCCCAUUAAAGCGGUACGCGAGCUGGGUUCAGAACGUCGUGAGACAGUUCGGUCCAUAUCCGGUGCAUGCGUAAGAACAUUGACAGGGGUUCUCCCUAGUACGAGAGGACCGGGAGGAACGCACCUCUGGUGUACCAGUUAUCGUGCCAACGGUAAACGCUGGGUAGCCAUGUGCGGAGAGGAUAACCGCUGAAAGCAUCUAAGUGGGAAGCCCACCUGAAGAUGAGUGUUCUCAUGGCUUAAGCCAGUAAGGUCACGGGAAGAACACCCGUUGAUAGGCUCUACGUGGAAGCGCAGCAAUGCGUGGAGCGGAGGAGUACUAAUAGACCGAGGGCUUGAC
rnacentral:rRNA from 1 species